GCGGCCUAUCAGCUUGUUGGUGAGGUAAUGGCUCACCAAGGCGACGACGGGUAGCCGGCCUGAGAGGGCGACCGGCCACACUGGGACUGAGACACGGCCCAGACUCCUACGGGAGGCAGCAGUGGGGAAUAUUGGGCAAUGGAGGAAACUCUGACCCAGCGACGCCGCGUGAGGGAUGAAGGCCUUCGGGUUGUAAACCUCUUUCAGUAGGGAAGAAGCGAAAGUGACGGUACCUACAGAAGAAGCACCGGCUAACUAUGUGCCAGCAGCCGCGGUAAUACAUAGGGUGCAAGCGUUGUCCGGAAUUAUUGGGCGUAAAGAGCUCGUAGGUGGUUCGAUACGUCGGAUGUGAAAAUCAGGGGCUCAACCCCUGACCUGCAUCCGAUACGGUCGAGCUAGAGUUUGGUAGGGGAGACUGGAAUUCCU
rnacentral:rRNA from 1 species